rnacentral:rRNA from 1 species
AGCCUACGGGCGGCAGCAGUGGGGAAUAUUGCACAAUGGGCGAAAGCCUGAUGCAGCAACGCCGCGUGAGGGACGACGGCCUUCGGGUUGUAAACCUCUUUUAGUAGGGAAGAAGCGAAAGUGACGGUACCUGCAGAAAAAGCACCGGCUAACUACGUGCCAGCAGCCGCGGUAAUACGUAGGGUGCAAGCGUUAUCCGGAAUUAUUGGGCGUAAAGAGCUCGUAGGCGGUCUGUCGCGUCUGCUGUGAAAACUGGAGGCUCAACCUCCAGCCUGCAGUGGGUACGGGCAGACUAGAGUGCGGUAGGGGAGAUUGGAAUUCCUGGUGUAGCGGUGGAAUGCGCAGAUAUCAGGAGGAACACCGAUGGCGAAGGCAGAUCUCUGGGCCGUAACUGACGCUGAGGAGCGAAAGCGUGGGGAGCGAACAGGAUUAGAUACCCCAGUAGUCGA